GCAAUUUUUAUAUUUGUGGACAAUGUGCUUCCUUCUACAGGUGCCAUUAUGUCUGCCAUAUAUGAAGAGAAGAAAGAUGAAGAUGGAUUUCUUUAUGUUACCUACAGUGGAGAAAACACAUUCGGAUCUAAUAUCCCACUGUAGCGUCGUUGUGGGAUUUGCAUUGUUUCUUCCCUUGUUUCAUCAAUUUGAUUCCGUGAGGAUUGUCUGAAUCCCCGGCUGCCCAUAGUUUCAUUGUCCGCCUGAUCAUAAAGUUCCUGCCAGUGAUAUUAUGUACAGUUAAAUAUUGUAUAUAAGCAUGAAGGUGACUUGUUCACUUUCAAUGUUAAAUGUUUCCCAGUCCAUUUUAAGAAAUCCUUCAGUGGAAAUCUAUGUUAUCGGUGGCUAUAUUUCAAGCUUUUUAUCAUGAAUUGAAUAAAUUUAUCAU
rnacentral:misc_RNA from 1 species